AAUGAACGCUGGCGGAAGGCUUAACACAUGCAAGUCGGGCGAGCGGCGGACGGGUGAGUAAUGUCUGGGAAACUGCCUGAUGGAGGGGGAUAACUACUGGAAACGGUAGCUAAUACCGCAUACCAUCAGAUGUGGCCAGAUGGGAUUAGCUAGUGGGUGGGGUAAUGGCUCACCUAGGCAACGAUCCCUCGCUGGUCUGAGAGGAUGACCAGCCACACUGGAACUGAGACACGGUCCAGACUCCUACGGUAGGCAGCAGUGGGGAAUAUUGCACAAUGGGCGCAAGCCUGAUGCAGCCAUGCCGCGUGUGUGAAGAAGGCCUUCGGGUUGUAAAGCACUUUCAGCGAGGAGGCGUUACUCGCAGAAGAAGCACCGGCUAACUACGUGCCAGCAGCCGCGGUAAUAC
rnacentral:rRNA from 1 species